rnacentral:lncRNA from 1 species
UUUUUUUUUUUUUUUUUUUUUUUUCAGAGUAUUUUCUUUCUUGUCCAGAUUAGCUAAAUUGGAUUGUUCUAUGCUAAAUUCACUUAAUCACUACUCUAUUAUUUUUGAAUUUUUUAGUUCUGUUUUUUUCACUUGGUUCUUUUUUUAAAAAAACUUCUACUACCUUUCUGAGACUUCUACUUUUUUACUUUUUUCAAGAAGCUUUAUAAUUACUUGCUAAAGCAUUUUUACCAUGACUGUUUUUAACUUCUUCAGAUAACCACAACAUUUGGUUAAUCUUGAGGUUGGCUUGGUUAACUGUCUUUUCUCAUCCUGCUUAUGAUUUUCCUUCUAAUUGUGAUUUUUCCGGUUCUUGAUAGAUGGGUGAUGUUUUAGUUUAUCCUGCAUUUUUUUUUCCUUUUUAAGUUAGAGGAAUCUGAAUCUAUUCAAAUGUUUUAUUUUAGCAGGCAUGUGCCCUGUUUAGGUUUAAUUUGAAUGUCCUGUCCUACUUUUGUAGGCCAUGUUUUCGCAGGCAGUCUUGCUAUCAGAGCUGAGGGGAUGCUGUUUUGAUCACUUAGUUUAUCUGAUGUUGCUGGGCCUCCAACUGGUGCUGACUGGUACUUCCUGAGAUGGCGAAGGUUUUUCUGUACUCUGAGAUGCCGUGUAUCUCUAUGUAAGGGGAGGAGACUCUGGACCACAGGAAUGAAGAGAACAUCUUAGGUCAGGCAGCUCAAUCAUAUGCGAUAACCUGGGUCAACCAGCCAGUAGCCUCAUGAAGUAUGGGAGGGAAUUCUCCAGUGUCAGCAUUCAAAGACAUCAUGAGUUUUUACUUCUCAUUUUCUUUUAAGUGAAAUAAUCGCAUGGAAAUUAAAGAAUAAAUAUAUGAAAUAUAUGAAACUUAUAUGAAAUAUAAGAAUGUGAGAAGGCCUACAGCGUGGGGAUCCCCAGGCUAUUUGAACAAUGAAUGUCUGUGUUACACAUCUUUGCUCACUUUUUCUCUAUUUUUGUAGUUCAUUGUGGAACCAGCACAGAUUUUCAUACGAAAGUUAUUUCUUUUUAACCUCAAAAAGUGACAGAAUGGAGUGUAUCAUGAAAAAGUCUGACAUCAAAACCUCAAAAUGUGAUAUUGAUUGGGUGAGAUAGAAUUCCAUGGAAUUUCAUUGCCAAACCAGUGAAGUGCUAAUUUUGACAUUUGUACCAGCUAACGUAGCUGUGAAGAAACACACCAAUACACUUCUAAGGACAGCAUAGACCAAGAUCUAGGUUUCAUAUGGAUGAAUUUAUUCUUCCCUUUGAGGCAAGACAAGAAGGAAAGAAAGUAUUGGGAAUAAUGCUGCCCUCCCAUCCUCAAGGGCCAGUGGGAACUCUAAUAUUGAUUGGGUGAGAUACAAUUCCAUGGAAUUUUACCACUGAACCAGUGGAGGGCUAAUUUUGUCAUUUGUACCAGUUAACUAACUUGGGAGGAAACAGAACAACACACUCCUGAGAUUGGUUUUCACAGAAUUCCAUGGACUUUAACUGCUGAACCAAUGAUGCACUGAUUUUGUCACUUGUACCAGCUAACGCAUCUGGGAGGCAACAAAACAAUACUCUCCUGAGGUUAAUGUGGACCAAAAACUAGAUUUCAUAUAAAAGAGUUUAUUCCUUCUACUUGAGGUGUGACAUGAAGGAAAGUAAUGGAAAUAAUUCUGCCCUCCCAUUCUCAAGGGCCAGGGGGAAUUCAAAUAUUGAACGGAAGUGAUUUUGGAAUUGCAUGGAAUUCUCACUGCCAUCCCAAAGAAAUGCUGAUCUUGUCACUCUUACCUGUUUCAUUCCCUGGGGGCAGAACAAAAGGACGCACUCCAAAGAUCGGCAUGAACCAAGAACUGGGUUUCAUAUAAAAUAUUUUAUUCUGUCCUCUUGAGAUGUGACAUGAGAAAAGUAUUGAGAAUACUUCUAUCACCUCAUCUUCAAGAAUCCGUAGGAAUUCUCCCAUGGUGGACUUUACGGUUAACCUGAACAGGUCUUGGAAAAAGGACUUUAAACAUUCUCCUGUUCUGUGGAAUAAGUAUACUUUUUUCUGGACAUACACCUUGUCAGUGAGUUCCAUGUGAUACUAGAGUUGCAUAGAUUUUUAACCUUUACGCCAAUGAAGAUCUGAGGCAAACAUUGCCCCUUUUUUAGAAGUUUGCAUUUGUCACUGAUAACUGUAAUAAUUGAUCUUGUUGAAAAGCCUGGGAAAUGAAGAUCUGAUAUGUCACUUUUACCGGCUUCCUCAACUGAAAAAGAAUACAAUGAAACACGCUGAGAAUUUUUGUGCUUUCUCAGUCUUGCUGAUGAUCUUUCUAUGGGCCUGAAGCGUGGAGAGUGCCAGAGAGGCUGAUCCUCAGCAGUGUGGCAGAGGAAAGUUGGGUGCGACUAAGGGGUAUGCGGUGCCCACAUGCCACUGGGUCCUCAGCAGUACCACCUGAUUGGAAGUGAUAUUGGUGGAAGACAACAUUUUGCCGCUUGGAAUUCUCACCUCCACACCAAAGAAGUACUGUUUUUGUCAUUUGCACCAGCUUCUUUCUCCAGGAAAGAUCAAAACGAUGCACUGCAAGUGUGAUUGGUCCAGAUAGCUGCCUUAUCCAACUGCCUCCUUUGGACCACUUCAUCAUGGGACAGCUUGAUGCAAUCUACUUGACAAGACCCUGGAACCCCACACCCCUCAUGGAACCAGUGUCCACCUCCCAGUCACAGUGUGACCCCAGGGAACUCUUGCCUGCUUGCUUUAAACCCACCACUUAAAAGUCUCCACAGAAAACCUGUUUGAAUAGUACCCUUGACCCAAUAAGGGCAUUGGCCCCUGGGUGUCUCUCUCUCUCUCUCUCUCUCUCUCUCCCUCUCUCUCCCUCUCUCUCUCUCGCUCCCUGACCUCUGCGUGUGGACUCCAGGCAUGCCAUAUACCCCUCAGGACCUGAAGCAAAAGAAUGAAUUAAAGAAAACUCCAGAGAAUGAGCUGACAACCUACUCCCUGGUCAGUGGCUCUCCAUGCCUACCUGUGGUCUCUUGGACACCCUUGCAGAAGAUGACUUCCUGGGAACUCUUCUGGGAGUGAAUGUUAUCAGCAAAUUCCCAAAACAACACCCCUUAGACAAAAAGCCUCCUCACCUAUGCAUUGCCUAGACCACCCACUAAAGGUGAUGGCCACAAAGAGGUGGAUUUGUUGAGUUGGUGCCAUUCCUUCUACUGCCAGCUUCACCAAAACAAUGACACAGUCUUCCUUCCGCAUGGAGACUCUUCUCUUUCCUGUGUUGCAGUGGAUGCCUCCUGCAGAUAAGAAAUGCUUAACUGAGAAAUGCUCAUGUUGGGAUAUCAUCGAUGAGACUUUAAUUUGGGCAUGGUGACUGUUUCCCUUGCUGCCACUUGACUCAAUCCCAGGAGCCUCAGUAGAGGAUAUAAUAUUACACAAGAUGCUCAAAAUGGUGGAAUUGCUCAGUGCUCCCAUAAAUAUACAUUUAUAAUUUUCAUUUGCCACAUGGUAAACUGAAAAAUACAGACUAUAUUAAAAAGAAACUGCAUGAUUUUUUUUCAAAAAUUCAAAGCAUAUUUAAAUAAUAUAUAAAUUAAAUGCCCUCCUCUCUUCCAAUUCUGUCCCUAUAGUUUUCCUCUAUUAAGUGAACUACAUGCAUUCUUUUAGUGGAUAGAUGCACACAAACACACAAGCCAUUAUGGGGAAGGAUCCACGUGUGUGGCCAUAUUGUAACACAUUUUUCUGCAAAUCACCUCUUUCAUUUAACAGCCCUUAUUCAAUGGCCUUUUUCUUUUUCAGUAGUACAUACACAUCUGUGUCAUUUGUUGAAUGACGACAUGAAUGUUUUGUAGAUAAAAUAUAAUUAAAUGUUUUAAGCAUUUCUCACUCAUAGAUAUUUAUGUUAGCACCAAAUUUCUGUGCAAUGAACCUCCCUAUAUAUCAGUAAUUUUGCAUUUGUCUAUAAUAUCAUAAUAAAUUACUUAUCAGUUGAAUUACUGGGAUUAAGUAUGUGCACACUUUAUAUUUAUAUUUUGAAAAUUAUUGCAAGAUUGCCUUCAAAAAUGUGGUUAACAACUUUAUCUUCAAAUGGCAAUGAAUGAGAUUGCCAGCUUUCCUACAGCCUCACAGACAAUGGAUUUUAUAAAUAUUUAACAUUUUUGCCAAUGUGAUCACCCAAACUAUUGUCUUAAAUUGUAUCUCUUUUGUUUUUGAGUUUGGUCAUUUUUUCAUGUUUAUUAGCCAUCUGUAUUUUUUAAUUUCUUCUUUAUGUCCAAUUUUGUGGGUGGGAGGAGGAUUUAGUCUCUUCCUGAUUUCGAAGAGCUCAUUUACUAUUUCGGGAAAUAAGAUUUGGAUUGUCAACCAUUAUAGCUAUUUUUUACACACUUUUCAACUUUGUUUUUGUUAUAAGAAUGUGUAUGAUUGUUACAUGUCCAAGUAUAACCAUGUUCGCUUUUAUGGCUUCUGAGUUUCAUGUCAUUUUUGGAAAGAUAUAUAUAUUGAGUCCAUAAAACCCUUCACCUAUGUUAAAUUCUAAUUCUUUUGUGUUUUUUUAAUUCAAAUUCUUAAAUCAUGAGAAAUUUUUUUGUUUUGAAAUCUUAAAGUUGCCAAGUUACUUGCCAUUACUUGCGAUUAUUUGCCAAUAAUUGCCCAUUUAUCUGUACCGCCAUCUUGCGCAUAUGCUGUACUCUCAUCUGUGACUGGCUCCAUUUUUGUUCUGUGGAUUUGUGUGUCUCUUCUUCUGCCUCCUGUCUCGUGUCUGCUCGUUGGAAGAAAUUACAGUUUAGACUGCAAUUUCAUCAACUUUAAUAAAUCAAUUGAGGGGAGAAUUGGUUUUUAAAAAUAUUAAGUAAGUCUUCGUAUCCAAGGACAAGGUAUGUCUUUUCUUAUUCAAUAAUUUUAAUUACUGUUAAUAUUUUCACUGUGGUGAUGGGAGUUUUUCUUUUAAUUUAUUUUCUUGUUCAUUUUUUGUAUCUAAAGUUUUUGUUUUGUUUUGUUUUGGGGGUAAGUUGUCACCUUACUGUUUCUUGUUGCUUUUCAGAUUUUUUCAAAGUAUAGACUAAAUCCUUCACAAAUAUUUAAAGUUUUUAUUUUCCCCCUUCAUAUUGAUCCUGAUUUUAGUUAUGUUGACAAAGUCCACAGACUGUUACUAUCAGAACACUUGAACAGUUAUGGAAAUAUUACCUACCCUUGAUUUAAUCAGAGUUUAAUGGUAUGCUUCUUUGGUUUGACUGGCACAUUGUCGCUGGUCAUUUCCUCCCAAAGACCACCAGAAAGAGCUAUGAUCAAGCAAAGCUGAGUUUGUUAAACUUACCUGCAGCAAGGGAAAACACCACCUUGAUAGGGUUUAAUAAUGUUUCAAAAUCAAGAAAUGAGGCUUUGGGGUCUGGGCAGGGAACUAAUUAGAAAUGGGCAAAAUUUGUCAUGCAAUACCUUGUGGGAAAGUGAGAUGAGGUUCUUAAUGUGAGUAUUGAUGGUGAAAUCAUUUUCUAGGUGAGCUGUUUGCCUAUAUAAAGAUGUUAUCAAUGACAGAAGAACUAUUUGCCUAGAUAAACAAACUGAAUUUAUUUAUUGGUUUACAGUUUUAUCUUGCUGGGCAGGACUCUGCUGGGGGUGGUAUCAGGUCUUAUUCCCAAUAGGUAAGUUAUUUGGAUAUGGGUGGUCUUAAUCAUCAAUGUGUAAAAUGCUGAUUUUAAGUGCGAAAUACUUUGUCUACCAUGUUAGGAAAGUCUGCCACCUUUUAUCUUUUUUAAGGAAUUUUAAUCAAAACCAGGUGGUAGAUAUAAUCAAAUUGUUUUGCAGAAUCAAUUUUCCUGUUCUCUUUAAAGACUUUUAUCACUGUGAAUUAAUUUACUAUUAUUGCAACUUCCUUUAAUUCCUUGAAUGAACAGACCCUACUGGUUUUAAAAAUGUUUUAUUCUUUUAAUUUACUACUUAAUUGUGGGUAUUUUAAUUUGAUUUGGAAUUUUUACAAGUAUACAACUAAGUGAAAUUGAUCUGUGAUUUUUCUUUUUUGUGCUAUUUUUGUCAUGUUUUGAUAUCAGAUAUUCUGGUUGUGUUAAAAUAAUUUUGAGGAUUUUCUUCUUAUACUGUGUUCUAGAGUGGGUAAAAAAGCCCUAGUCUCACUAUCAGUGUUUAAGUGAACACAUCAGUGACAUCAUCUGGACUCUCCUUUGUUUUUGCUGGUUUGGAGUUAGGACAUCUAGAAGUUUUUUUCUUUUUUUCCUUUUUUUGUAUGGUUAUUGCUUGUUCUUUGUUUUGUGUCAAAUUUAACCUGUUUUCUCUUAGCAAAUCACAGCUCAUGCAGAUUUUCAAACACAUUAGCCUUGUUAUACAAAGUGUUCUUUCAUCAUUCUAUUAAAUUUCCAUUUUCAUUCCAGUUAUAGUUAUUUCUGCUGUGCCUUUGUUAAUGAAUAAGUUUAAACAGUGGAUGUUUAGCAUCACUAGCCUUCCCCUUCCAUCUCCCUUAAUCAGGACCUUGGUAUAAUUUAUCAGGUAUUUUUUAAGGUUCUAAUUUACUUAUAUAUAUUGUUUCUGUAUUCUUUUGUUUCUUUUCUUAAUAAAUUCUUAAA